rnacentral:rRNA from 1 species
GAUGAACGCCGGCGGCGUGCCUAACACAUGCAAGUCGAGCGAUCUUCUUCGGAAGAGAGCGGCGGACGGGUGAGUAACGCGUGGGUAACCUGCCCUGUACACACGGAUAACAUACCGAAAGGUAUGCUAAUACGAGAUGAUAUGCUUUUAUCGCAUGGUAGAAGUAUCAAAGCUUUUGCGGUAUAGGAUGGACCCGCGGCUGAUUAGCUAGUUGGUAAGGUAACGGCUUACCAAGGCGACGAUCAGUAGCCGACCUGAGAGGGUGAUCGGCCACAUUGGAACUGAGACACGGUCCAAACUCCUACGGGAGGCAGCAGUGGGGAAUAUUGCACAAUGGGCGAAAGCCUGAUGCAGCAACGCCGCGUGAGCGAUGAAGGCCUUCGGGUCGUAAAGCUCUGUCCUCAAGGAAGAUAAUGACGGUACUUGAGGAGGAAGCCCCGGCUAACUACGUGCCAGCAGCCGCCGUAA